rnacentral:rRNA from 1 species
AUUGAACGCUGGCGGCAGGCCUAACACAUGCAAGUCGAGCGGAUGAAGGGAGCUUGCUCCUGGAUUCAGCGGCGGACGGGUGAGUAAUGCCUAGGAAUCUGCCUGGUAGUGGGGGAUAACGUCCGGAAACGGGCGCUAAUACCGCAUACGUCCUGAGGGAGAAAGUGGGGGAUCUUCGGACCUCACGCUAUCAGAUGAGCCUAGGUCGGAUUAGCUAGUUGGUGGGGUAAAGGCCUACCAAGGCGACGAUCCGUAACUGGUCUGAGAGGAUGAUCAGUCACUCUGGAACUGAGACACGGCCCAGACUCCUACGGGAGGCAGCAGUGGAGAAUAUUGGACAACGGGCGAAAGCCUGAUCCAGCCAUGCCGCGUGUGAAGAAGGUCUUCGGAUUGUAAAGCACUUUAAGUUGGGAGGAAGGGCAGUAAGUUAAUACCUUGCUGUUUUGACGUUACCAACAGAAUAAGCACCGGCUAACUUCGUG